GACGUAGGGCGCGAGCGUUGUCCGGAUUUAUUGGGCGUAAAGAGCUCGUAGGCGGCUCGUUGCGUCGGCUGUGAAAACCUGCAGCUUAACUGUGGGCGUGCGGUCGAUACGGGCAUCACUGGAGUUCGGCAGGGGAGACUGGAAUUCCUGGUGUAGCGGUGAAAUGCGCAGAUAUCAGGAGGAACACCGGUGGCGAAGGCGGGUCUCUGGGCCGAUACUGACGCUGAGGAGCGAAAGCGUGGGGAGCAAACAGG
rnacentral:rRNA from 1 species